UACCAGCACCCCGAGUUGUCGGGACGAUUAUUGGGCCUAAAGCAUCCGUAGCCUGUUCUACAAGUCCUCCGUUAAAUCCACCUGCUCAACAGAUGGGCUGCGGGGGAUACUAUAGGGCUAGGAGGCGGGAGAGGCAAACGGUACUCAGUGGGUAGGGGUAAAAUCCAUUGAUCUACGGAAGACCACCAGUGGCGAAGGCGGUUUGCCAGAACGCGCUCGACGGUGAGGGAUGAAAGCUGGGGGAGCAAACCGG
rnacentral:rRNA from 1 species